rnacentral:miRNA from 1 species
AAGCAGGAGGUGUCAGAAAAGUUACCACAGGGAUAACUGGCUUAUGGCAGUUACAGUAUUUAUACCUCCCUGCU